rnacentral:hammerhead_ribozyme from 1 species
AUCCAGCUGACCAGUCCCAAAUAGGAUGAAACGCGAGUCAAACUUGAU